GCCUGUGUAGAGAGAUAGCUCAGUCGGUAGAGCUUACGACUCUUAAUCUCAGGGUUGUGGGUUCGAGUUCCACUUUGGGCA